rnacentral:rRNA from 1 species
UCGUCAGCUCGUGUCGUGAGAUGUUGGGUUAAGUCCCGCAACGAGCGCAACCCUUAUUGUUAGUUGCCAGCAUUCAGAUGGGCACUCUAGCGAGACUGCCGGUGACAAACCGGAGGAAGGCGGGGACGACGUCAGAUCAUCAUGCCCCUUAUGACCUGGGCUACACACGUGCUMCAAUGGCGUAUACAACGAGUUGCCAACCCGCGAGGG